rnacentral:rRNA from 1 species
UGCCAGACUCCUACGGGAGGCAGCAGUGGGGAAUAUUGCACAAUGGGGGGAACCCUGAUGCAGCGACGCCGCGUGGGUGAAGAAGUCAUUCGUGACGUAAAGCCCUAUCAGCAGGGAAGAAAAUGACGGUACCUGACUAAGAAGCCCCGGCUAACUACGUGCCAGCAGCCGCGGUAAUACGUAGGGGGCAAGCGUUAUCCGGAUUUACUGGGUGUAAAGGGAGCGUAGACGGCGGUGCAAGCCAGAUGUGAAAGCCCGGGGCUCAACCCCGGGACUGCAUUUGGAACUGUGCUGCUAGAGUGUCGGAGAGGCAGGCGGAAUUCCUAGUGUAGCGGUGAAAUGCGUAGAUAUUAGGAGGAACACCAGUGGCGAAGGCGACCUGCUGGACGAUGACUGACGUUGAGGCUCGAAAGCGUGGGGAGCAAACAGGAUUAGAUACCCCAGUA